UUGAAAUGCAAAUCAUGUAGUUCAUCGAUUCGAUGGUUUCUUUUUUUUCUCUCCUGUUUACAUUUUAACAGCUCUGAAAUCGAAGACGCGUCGGGGCGUUCUGUUCUAUAUUACCAUCGGUGAUCUCUUAACUUCGGUGAAGCGUCGCAGCACUUCACAGGAUUACGGUGAGGUCCAAAUAGUUCACGGACGAUGCUUGUGACGGUGCCGAACAUGCAUGGGCCGUCAUUAAGCGUUAGCCAUUGCGACCUCUUACUUAAAGCCCUUCCCUAGCUCUUCCCUGCCUAUGGCAUGUAGACCUGGCCGUUGACCCUGACGUUCAAGGCUGUCCAUCAGCAGCUCUCCACGUCUUAUAGGAUCCUCAUCCAGAGCUGACCAAACACAGCUCUAAGUGCAAUCUCCACCUGAAUGCCCCACGAGCCUCGCAGAGUCUCCACGUCCAAACCCACCGCCCUCCCGGACCCACCUCCUCCUUGGCGUCUCCCUCAGGGUUAACGGCAGUGCCAAGAGUCUACGGACAUUCCCUUGCUCUCAUGGCGCACGCGUACUUCUCAGCCGCUUGUUCGCGUACCCCGAUGCCCUUCUCCCGCGGCACAGACGUCACCUCUUCCGAGAAGCCUGCUCUGAGCUCCUGAGGCAGCGUGGAGUGUCCCUUCCCGAGACGUCUCUCAUGUGGUACCUGUUACACCAGAGCCUGGCACAGGUGACACCAGGAAUCAUCCCUGACAAUCGCGCCCCGUCCCUGGAGCUCUGUGACACGCUCCCCACAUGAGCUCCUCAUGAGGACUUGGCAUAGGAAGCUGGUGGCGUUUGUCUCUGUCCUGUGCACAUAAGACCGACCCACCAGAGUGUGGUUUUCCUGAGCCCCUCACCCAACAGGAGAGGCUACUCGGGGUCUGGCAGUUUUAAACAAUGGCCCCUAAAUUCUUUGACAUGUCUCCCGUCAAGAGGUAGGGUCGGGCGCCUGGGUGGUUCGGUUGG